CACGUAGGGUGCGAGCGUUGUCCGGAAUUAUUGGGCGUAAAGCGCGUGUAGGCGGCUUUGCAAGUCGGGUGUGAAAUCCCUCAGCUCAACUGAGGAAGUGCGCCCGAAACUGCAGAGCUUGAAUACCGGAGAGGAUGGCGGAAUUCCCCAAGUAGAGGUGAAAUUCGUAGAUAUCGGGAGGAACACCAGUGGCGAAGGCGGCGACCUGGGCCAAUACUGACGCUGAGGUGCGAAAGCGUGGGGAGCAAACAGG
rnacentral:rRNA from 1 species